UUAUUCCUGGAAAUUGCUUUUAUUUAGCAAUUAUGUUAACACCGCAAGAAGGCAGUUGGCAUUGAAAACAAACAGUUCAAUUUAAAAAUCAGAGAAGUGAAUUAACUGAAAUUUCAGGGCGCUCACACCUGAGUACACUCCACUACCUUGAAUACGUAAGAAUCCUCAAAAGCUUAGGGUUUUUGUUUGCUGAGAAGAAAAGGGAUGAAAGGGUAGGAGAAACUGUUUAAGUUAUUUAUAUAUUUUGCAAAUCAAAGUUAAACCCUGACAGCCAACAAGCAGGGGAAAAACACUGAAGGAGUCAGUGACAAUACUGAGAUUUUUUUUCUGUAAAAUGGCUUGUACUUCCACAGGUACAACAGCAAAGAAAUUCUUUCAGUCCAUUUCACAUGGUGUAUAAAAGACCAAUUUUACAAUUAUACCCAGAAGUUUAGCAGCUGCUAACACUGUUGAAAGGUAAACAUCUCCAUCACACUAGACUUUGCUGCACGAGUCUUUUCCUAUGGUUGGGUCCCAAGAAGGCGCCUUCCAGGGGCUCUCCAUCAUGUAUUUAAUCCAAGAGGAAAGCAACACCUAUCCCUAACCACCAUGAUAUGAACAGAACGGACUUCCAGGUGACUUGAAGACUGACUCACCCACCAGGAAAAUGUAAAUAUGCCCUGUUAAAAUGAAAUCUUGACAGCCACCAGUUUCGCCUGUAGUCUGGUUGUUCAAGCAACUUGUAUUUUUGUUCCACUACCAAUAAAUGAAAACUCUUAUGAACACAAAAGAUAAAGCUCCAUCUUUGCUACCUGCCAAGGCAGACAACUGAUUUUUCAAGAACAGUGUGUCUGCUGUAGCCAGUGGCAUGUGGUUUGCACAGGGCUUGCAGAACUACUGAUGACUUCAUCCUAAAAACUACCCUCUCUCCAUUCCCCCAACCCCCCCAAAAACCAGCCUUACCUUCGAAGCUUUUCCUUUUCAUUCACACCACCAGGUGUGAAGGCUUGUGAAGAAUCCUCAUAAAAAUUAGAAUAAGAAAAUCUGUAAAAGACAUUUGCAACUCCAAUUUAUAUUUUUCUUGAAGAGAUAAGCAAGCCUGAAAGGCAUCUUUUUUCAUUCUCUUGUUUUCCAAGCUCUAUUUGUUUACCUGCAACUACAUGGAUAAAUAGAAAGUGAGAGGAGCCAAGAACUCAUAACAGGCUGAGAACUGAGCAAAGGAGCAAUCCCUGGCCAGAAUACUGCAGAAAUGCUGGGCUGUCCACACCGACUCAACUCACAUACCCAGACUCUUCUGUUCCUACCUGUGCCCAUCAACAGCUCCAACUUGUCAAUUCCACUUCACAUCCAAUGUGGCAUGUUAGCAACAGUCUUGGGAAAAAAAAGACUUAACCACCUGUGACAGAGCCUUCCUUUACAAAGGACAGACAAGCACAGCUCAUUCCAAGAGCAUAUCUGCAGCUCAGCUUUAAACAAGAGCAGGAGUCAAGCCAGGUCAGUUUUCCUCCUGCACUAAAAAUGCAUUCAAACACCCCUCUCUGUUCUUGUGAUGGCUAGAUGUCUACCAACAGUUCUCCGAGCCCACAGCUGUGUUGAGACUAUGAGCUGGAUGAACAGAAACAUGACAGUCUUGGAGAAGCUUCCUUCCACUUCUAGAAGAAGGAAAAAAAAAUGGUGAGCAAAGUGACCAGCUACUGCAACAGCACUAAAGGGAGAGUUACCACAGCUGAAACUGUUUCCUUUGGCUAGUGCAUGGAGUAUCAAAAAAAAAAAAAAAAAAAAAAAAAAAAAAG
ensembl:lncRNA